rnacentral:rRNA from 1 species
AGUAAAUUGGUUAAGUUAGAAAGGGCGCACGGUGGAUGCCUUGGCACUAGGAGCCGAAGAAGGACGGGACUAACACCGAUAUGCUUUGGGGAGCUGUACGUAAGCGUUGAUCCAGAGAUUUCCGAAUGGGGGAACCCACUAUCUUUAGUCGGAUAGUAUCCUUACGUGAAUACAUAGCGUGAGGAAGGCAGACCCAGGGAACUGAAACAUCUAAGUACCUGGAGGAAGAGAAAGAAAAAUCGAUUUCCUGAGUAGCGGCGAGCGAAACGGAAAGAGCCCAAACCAAGAAGCUUGCUUCUUGGGGUUGUAGGACACUCUAUACGGAGUUACAAAAGAAAGUUAUAAAUGAAGCGGUCUGGAAAGGCCCGCCAAAGACGGUAACAGCCCGGUAGUUGAAAUGGCUUUCCCUCCAGAGUGGAUCCUGAGUACGGCGGAACACGUGAAAUUCCGUCGGAAUCCGGGAGGACCAUCUCCCAAGGCUAAAUACUCCCUAGUGACCGAUAGUGAACCAGUACCGUGAGGGAAAGGUGAAAAGCACCCCGGAAGGGGAGUGAAACAGUU